GUUCCACACAGAAUCAGGAGCAAGAUUUGGGGAAAGAGUGUCAAAGCUUGAGUGAACCCAUGAAUAACCAGACAAGAGAUGCAUAUUCAGGAGAUGUAGAUAGUGGACUUGCGGUGGUGAUUUCAGGAAGCAGUGAUGAUCUCUACAAACCUACCUUCCUCGCCAUGUAAAGAUGACAUUUCCUCAAUAUAUUGUGCACAGAAGUUUACUGAAGUAAUUAAGAGUGAAACUCCUGAGCAAUCUGAGUACAAAUAUCUGCCUUACUCAUCUUGGCAACUUUUGCUCUUGUCCCAGUGCCUCAGACAGUCAGAGGGAAGAAACAUCAAAAUUCUGUGUGUCCUCUACAACAGCCAAAUGAAGAGCCAGGUUGAGGAUCAGCAAUCGCACCCUUGCCCGUUUCAGAAGAAAUGUCACUCGGGGCAUCCUGCAAAGGAAUUCCCACCAGCGCCAUUGAAAGGUACUGCAGAUUCUCAGCCUGCAUUGUACUGUGGGAGGUACUGAAGAAAGGGGAUGGUUGCAGCGAUGUCAGCAUUGAUGAUGAUAAGAAGAGGAGUUAUCAUAAGUGUCAACUAUUCGUCUAACCGGGCUCCUUUCUCCUUUCUUUCCACAAAAUCCACCACAUCUUUUCUUUCUUUCUUUCUUUCUUUCUUUCUUUCUUUCUUUCUUUCUUUCUUUCUUUCUUUCUUUCUUCCUUUCUUUCUUUCUUCCUUCCUUCCUUCCUUCCUUCCUUCCUUCCUUCCUUUCUUUCUUUUUUUUUAGGAUUUUAUUUUUAUUUAUUUUAGAGAGAGAUCAUGAGCAGAGAGGGGAGGGGGGCAGAGGGAGAAGCAGACUCCCCACUAAGCAGGGAGCUCGAUAGGGGGCUCAAUCCUGGGAUCCCAAGAUCAUGACCUGAGCAGAAGCUCUCUUAACCAAGCUCCCUUAACCAAGCUCAGUUAACCAAAUGAGCCACCCAGGAACCUCUCACUACAUCUUUUCUGAGAACUGCUCUCCUUAACAACCAUCCUAAUUCUGUGUCCUACUGAGCACUGCUGAUUAUAGUCCCACAGUCCCUUUGUGAAACGGUGGGUGAGGAAUCCAACCUGCCUUUGUCUGUGAAAAUCCUUCCCUUGGACUUCAUGGUAUCUGUUUUAUUGAGGUAUAAUUGACUAAUAAAACAUAAGAUAUUUAAAACACACAAUGUGCCGAUUUGAUCUAUAUAGAUGCUGUGAAAAGAUGGCCCUCAUUGAGUUAAUUGACACAUCCAACACCUCACACAUUUACUUUUUGUGUGUGGGAGCAUUUAAGUUCUAUUCUCAGAAGAUUGCAAUGAUUCAAUACAGUGCUAUCAAUGACAGUUGCCUGGACUUUUGAAUUGAAACUAAGGAAAGAGAAAAAUUUACCCUCCAGUGAUAAAGCUAGGGAAAGCCUGACAGGUCUGGUUUACUUGUCUCCUACAGAAUGCAGAAACCUUUUCUUCCAUAGAUGCACAUGAGGUCAAAAUAUAGAAAUAAGAGAGAUUGGGGGAGGACCUGCCACAAUUUCCCAAGUGGAUUGAAAAAGUCUACUUUUACAUAUUUUUAAUAUAACCACAAUCACCAGCAUGUGUUAAGGCUUACUUGUGCCUGUAUAUACAUUAAUUCACUUAAUCUUUCUAACUACUCUAUUAGCCAGACAUUUUAUCCUUAUAUCACAGAAUAAGAACUUCAGGGUCAGAAAGAGCAGUUUGCUCAAAAUUACACAUUUAGCUAAUUGCACAGUUAGAAUUAUUACAGUUCUACCUUCCCUCAAAAUUCAAGCUCAUUUUCAUCAUAGCAUACUGCUUCCAUCCUGUGUUCCUACCUCAGGUGCCUUUUCUCAGCAUGGAGACAAAAGCCAAUCUGAGACUAGAACCUACUAGUUCACUGGACCAGACAGAACCAUCUUCUUUUGCAGGCUACAUACGUGAUCCCAAACACCUGCCAACAAUUGAAUAAGACCACCAACUCAAUAUUGUAAUACUGCUUGAACAAAAUUGUUAUAGUAGAGUAGUGAACUUUGAGCAAUGAGCAAAGUAAAUUAUAGUGGUUUUUAAAAACAAAUGUGAGAUUCUUAUUUAUUAGAUGUUAUACCACUGAAUCAAGAGGCUCAAUGAGUUCUGAUUUCCAGAAAAGAUACAUCCAUUCAAGGUAGCAGGCAUUUAUUAGAAGUCUUUUUUGAGUUCUGCUGUGUACUAGGUGCUAAAUAAUAGAAACAAUCCAUAAAAAAACAAUAUUUUCCUGCUCCUGUAGAAGCUACUUGGAGGAAGGACAGAGAUGCCUCAAGUAGCUUAGGAGCAGUCACCAAGAAGCAUAUUAUUAUUAAAACCAUGUGGUAGAUUUUCAGGAUAAGCAGGGAGUGUCAAGGGAAGACACGAUUCAAGAGUACUGAGUACCUCUUUAUUUUACUUAUCAAGUAUUUAGGGAGCUUCGUAAAAAUAAUUGUUAUGGACACACAUGUGUGAAGUGGGAAUAUAUCAGAAAGAAGUACCCAAAGU
ensembl:lincRNA